rnacentral:lncRNA from 1 species
CACUCGUUCUUGCAUUUUUCUUAAAAAUUCCAGGCAAUUUUUAAAAUUGGGAAGUAUCAAAGAGAGAGAAAGCCUCAUUUUUUUUUUAGAAGAGAAGUACUUGAAUACUCCAGACCUAUGUUAUUCUCCUAAUGAAUUCUCACUUGCUCCCAUGCUAGGGUUUGACCCCAAGUCUGAGGAGAGAGGGCGAAUGAUGGGGUCGCUUCUUUGUGGGCUUACAAAGGCAGAAGAUUUCAGUUGCAUGUCUGAGAAGGUGUUUGCUUUUGUGUCCUCAUCCUCCUCACUGUUCACUUGGAAUCCGUUCAACUCAGCAUGUAAUUCUUAAGUCCUGUGCUAAAGCCGUGGGGACAACAAAACAUAUGAGAUGUAGGUCCUUCUUUUUAGUUUAUAAAUGCGACAGCAAAACUCAUGUACUCAAUAUAGAGUGAUAUAGCGCAAGAGAAAAGGCAGGGGGAGGGGUAAUGUUACAGGUCAGACUCUGGGUCUGGAAGGAAUCGAGAGGAGGAAGGGAUGAGUGUGAGCUGGAGGGUCAGGAGGUCCCUGCAGGCUGUGCAGAGCUGGUGCUGUGAACUGCAUUCUGGGAGAGCAGAGCAAAGAUGAGAAGGCACGUGCUGUGUUCAGGUCCCUGCAGGGGACUGGCCCUGCUGGCAUGGGGAGUCCAGGGUAGGCCAGUGCCAGGGACUUUGUGAUGGGUGUGGAGUCCUGGUGUACUUAGGUGGGAGGACUAGCACAACCAAAAGGUUUCUUUGACCUUGGCCUCUACAAGACCCCCAUGUUCCUUCUCCCACCAGCUCCUCAGCCUUUUUUUUUUCCCUUUCCAGGAAGGAAUGGUGAUAGAUCUUGUCUUACCACUUCGUCAGCUCUCCAUCAUGGGUGGGGCCAACUAAGGCCUUAUCCCAUCUAUCAUUUGUAUUAAAUACUGAGUAUCUCUAUGCAAAUGGUUUAAGAUUAUUUUUUUCUUCUUAAUUGGAGGGCUUUUCUGGCUAGGGCAAAUGAAUAUUGUGAUCAUCAAUGAAGGAUACACAUUGUCAGUAAUUUAUUUUAUUUGCAGUACUGAGGAUUAAACCCAGGGUCUUCUACAUGUUAGGCUUUUAUUAUUUUAUUUUAUUUUAUCUGCAGUGCUGGAGAUUAAACCCAGAGCCUCCUGCAUGCUAGGCAAAUGCUUUACCACUGAGCUACAUCCCCAGACCCUUGUCACUAUUUUAAAAAGAAAGUGGCAUAUUUUGUGACAGUCAGCAGAAGUCCUUGGACACAUUCAAACCUCAAUGGAA